rnacentral:tRNA from 1 species
GGUGAGAUGGCUCAGUGGUAAGAGCACCCGACUGCUCUUCUGAAGGUCCAGAGUUCAAAUCCCAGCAACCA